rnacentral:lncRNA from 1 species
GGAGACACUGGUAUGGCAUACAGGUGAGAUGUAAUGGUACAUCUGCACUGAACGUGACCGACUCCGGAGCUAUUUCUGCUGUCAAGAUUUGCUCCGAUGGGAUAUGGGUAUAAAUAUCCCUCCGACCUGAGACCGCCACGGUGACUUGCAAGCAACUCACUGCACUUAGACACUGGACUACCUGAAUUUCUAAUUCAGUGACGGAAGGCUGCUGGGUGAAGUCAAGUACUUGACUUGUCGGUGCGUGUGUCAAGAUGGGAUUGACCACUCCAGUUUAGGAGCUGUGUACAAUCGUGUUUCAAUUUAGCAAAAUCUUGGCCAGGAUAGUCCUAGUGAGGAGUCACAGGACUAAUUGAGUUGAGCACGAUUCGGAUGAUCUCAUUAGGGUUGACAGUUUAACCUUGAGUCGUCCUAAACACAGGGGUCAAAAGGGAUGAAUUAUAUGGUAACCAUAUUCACGUAGGUUCUGAAUAUUGCGAUUGUGACUAUUCGACCUAUCCGAUCGUCGGGCACCAUUGCUAGAUGGUCACUUCGAUUAGUACAGGAAUUGGUUCCUGUACUAUCGGCUUAGGUUUGAACCUGCGGGGUCACACACAUUAGAGGUUCCUUUAUGAUCUGAUGGCUGAUUAUGAGUCUUAUGUGUCUGGGACUCUAUGAUUGAGAAUUAGGAUUCUCUGAUCAUGAGUUCCAUACAUUUUGGAUAUCAGGGUCAAAAUUUUGAAUUUCAAAUUUCAAAUUUUGAAUUUGAAAUUUGAACUCUUUGAUCAAGGUUUCAUAUCGAUGGUCUCUGAUGCCUAAUUGCCCAUCGAAUUUGGACUCAAUAUUUAUGAGAGGUUUAAUUAGUGAUUUGAUCACUAAUUAACUCAAUUUGAUUGAGUAAUUAUUUUUAGAUCAAGUCCAAUUGAAUUGGAUUCAGUUUGGAUUGACCCGAUUA